rnacentral:rRNA from 1 species
GAUGAACGCUGGCGGCGUGCCUAAUACAUGCAAGUCGAGCGAACAGACGAGGAGCUUGCUCCUCUGACGUUAGCGGCGGACGGGUGAGUAACACGUGGAUAACCUACCUAUAAGACUGGGAUAACUUCGGGAAACCGGAGCUAAUCCCGGAUAAUAUAUUGAACCGCAUGGUUCAAUAGUGAAAGACGGUUUUGCUGUCACUUAUAGAUGGAUCCGCGCCGCAUUAGCUAGUUGGUAAGGUAACGGCUUACCAAGGGAACGAUGCGUAGCCGACCUGAGAGGGUGAUCGGCCACACUGGAACUGAGACACGGUCCAGACUCCUACGGGAGGCAGCAGUAGGGAAUCUUCCGCAAUGGGCGAAAGCUUGACGGAGCAACGCCGCGUGAGUGAUGAAGGUCUUCGGAUCGUAAAACUCUGUUAUUAGGGAAGAACAAAUGUGUAAGUAACUAUGCACGUCUUGACGGUACCUAAUCAGAAAGCCACGGCUAACUACGUG